UAAGAGACUGCCGGUGUCAAACCGGAGGAAGGUGGGGAUGACGUCAAGUCCUCAUGGCCCUUAUGGGUAGGGCUUCACACGUCAUACAAUGGUCGGUACAGAGGGUUGCCAAGCCGCGAGGCGGAGCCAAUCCCACAAAGCCGAUCGUAGUCCGGAUUGUUCUCUGCAACUCGAGAGCAUGAAGUCGGAAUCGCUAGUAAUCGCAGGUCAGCAUACUGCGGUGAAUACGUUCCCGGGUCUU
rnacentral:rRNA from 1 species